GGUCUUCUACUCCACUUGUCUCCCCCUGAAGAGAAGUGUUGGGGAAAUAGGAUUUUGUUUCCACAAAUGAUACAUCCAUACUCACAUGAAAUUUCUUGGUUUGAGAAUCGAAACACUUAUACCCCUUUUUAUUUGAGGAAUAACC